rnacentral:rRNA from 1 species
AUUGAACGCUAGCGGGAUGCUUUACACAUGCAAGUCGAACGGAGUGGCGGACGGGUGAGUAAUAUAUCGGAACGUGCCCAGUAGCGGGGGAUAACUACUCGAAAGAGUGCUUAAUACCGCACACUAUUGGAGCGGCCGAUACUGGAUUAGCUAGUUGGUGGGGUAAAGGCUCACCAAGGCAACGAUCCGUAGUUGGUCUGAGAGGACGACCGGCCACACUGGGACUGAGACACGGCCCAGACUCCUACGGGAGGCAGCAGUGGGGAAUUUUGGGCAAUGGGGGAAACCCUGAUCCAGCCAUCCCGCGUGAAUGAUGAAGGCCUUCGGGUUGUAAAGUACUUUUGGCAGAGAAGCGGUAUCUACAGAGUAAGCACCGGCUAACUACGUGCCAGCAGCCGCGGUAAUUC